UACGAAGGGGGCUAGCGUUGCUCGAAAUCACUGGGCGUAAAGGGCGCGUAGGCGGCCAUUCAAGUCGGGGGUGAAAGCCUGUGGCUCAACCACAGAAUUGCCUUCGAUACUGUUUGGCUUGAGUAUGGUAGAGGUCAGUGGAACUGCGAGUGUAGAGGUGAAAUUCGUAGAUAUUCGCAAGAACACCAGUGGCGAAGGCGGCUGACUGGACCAUUACUGACGCUGAGGCGCGAAAGCGUGGGGAGCAAACAGG
rnacentral:rRNA from 1 species